rnacentral:rRNA from 1 species
AAUGGAGCGUCAUAGAGGGUGAGAAUCCCGUCUCUGGCAUGGACUUCCGGUGCUUCUGUGAUGCGCUCUCAAAGAGUCGAGUUGUUUGGRAAUGCAGCUCAAAAUGGGUGGUGAACUCCAUCUAAAGCUAAAUAUUGGCGAGAGACCGAUAGCGAACAAGUACCGUGAGGGAAAGAUGAAAAGCACUUUGGAAAGAGAGUGAAACAGUACGUGAAAUUGUUGAAAGGGAAACGCUUGAAGUCAGUCGCGUCGACCGAGACUCAGCCUCGCCUUGGCUUGGUGUACUUCUCGGCUGACGGGCCAGCAUUGAUUUCGUCCCUCGGAUAAUGGCGAGAGAAAGGUGGCACCCCUCGUGGGUGUGUUAUAGUCUCCUGUCGCAUACGAGGGAUGGGAUCGAGGACCUCAGCAUGCACCUCUCGGUGCCGGGGCUUUGGCCCACGAUACGUGCUUAGGAUGUUGGCGUAAUGGCUUUAAACGACCCGUCUUGAAACACGGACCAAGGAGUCUAACAUGCCCGCGAGUGUUCGGGUGGAAAACCCGUGCGCGAAAUGAAAGUGAAAAGUUGGGACCUCUGUCGUGGAGGGCACCGACGCCCGGACCAGACCUUCUGUGACGGAUCUGCGGUAGAGCGUGCAUGUUGGGACCCGAAAGAUGGUGAACUAUGCCUGAAUAGGGUGAAGCCAGAGGAA